rnacentral:lncRNA from 1 species
AUGAAACUCCCUUGGGCCAUCAUCAUCCUCAACAUACAGUGGGCCCUCUCCAUUGAGAUAACCGAACCUGGCCCGCCAGUCGGCAUCGUCCUACAAGACGUACCUGGCCUUCUGAUCACACAUUGCCGUCUUUACACCCAGAGAAUCUAUGUCCGACUAGACCCCUGGGAUGCCUAUCGCAAUCACAUCCACCUACCCCCUCGGUUAACUGAAGGCAGGCCAAGCGGGACCCAAACCCACGAGACUGUGGAACACACCCGCUCCACAGUGAUCCACGUCCUAGAACAGCUGCAGAAGUUCCUUGUCACAGAGGCAGACCUCAGCGGCAAAGGAAGACCAAAACGGUUCCUAGGAGGUCUAAUCGCAGCAGCAUCAGCUAUCGGGUCCCUCUUCUCUAUCAGCCUCUCUGCCGCAAACUCAGUUAGCCUUAGCACACUCCAGCGACACAUUACUGAGCUUGAUGAAGAGAUGCCAGAAGUUCACCAAAAGCUUAGCUUUCAACAGCAGGAGUUGCAGAAUUUAGGAAAGACAGUACAGGGUACUAUAACGACAGUAAACCUCCACUCAGCUCUCCUCAACAACACCUUGCAUGCCCUCGAAACCCUGUCAGGGAUUGUCAAAGAAGACCUUACCUACGUAGGAGUGGUGAGAGACUUGAUGCAAGAACUCAUCAGAGAAGUCAGCUCAUCAAUCAACAGCCUCAGCAGUGGUAGAAUCCCCACUUACUUAGUUAACUUAGAUUUGGUCAGAGAUAUCCUAGGAUCCGCCACCACCACAGUGGUGCAACCUUCACAGGUCCAUCUAGCCUACAACCUAGGCAGUGCUAUUCCCAUAGCUGUAGACCCCAAGAACCUGGAACUAGGCUUUAUUCUGAAUUUGCCAAUCAUAGAAACUAGGAAUAUAUAUAAGUUAAAGUCUGUGUUGAAUGUAGGAUUUUGGCAAGACAACGCUCACAUUCUACUUAAGACACCUCCAGUGCUAGCAUACCAUAGUGAAGACCCAUCUCUCUACCUCGUUCCAAACCUCAACCUCUGCACCAACACCAGGGACAUCCAAUGGGUCUGCCCAAGUAAUCCUUUCAUCAGGGACACGACCAACUCCCUAUGCGGCCUUAGGCCUGACGCCCCCGAGCAAAAGUGCCAGGGCAGCCUGUCAGACAGGGACAGAGCAGCAGAGCCUAGGGUGGAACGAGCUGGCAACCGAUGGCUACUCAGCACUUCAGCCACCGAAGCCUUGAUUGUCUAUGACCACCAUGACACAACCACUACGUUGGCCCUACCAAACCAAACCCUGUUCCUAACGGUACCUCAGGGUGCUACCGUCCAUAUUGAGGACAUCAUCCUCCAUUACCUCAGUUCAGAGAGACAUGACACUGAGAUUGAGAUCAUGGAGGUGUUCAAGGGUUACAAUAUCACGAUUGAUGACACCCUUCAGCGGCAACUCAUGCUAGAAGGGGCCAAAUUGGUAAAGUUUAACCUCAGGCAGACGGGGCUGACCACAACCUACGCGGAUCAGGUGACUCGCCCGGUAACCUACAGCGAACACCCAAUCAGCAUGGUCGCGUUGGGACUCCUUCUUAGUGGUUGGGUCAUUACAGCAAUGGUAGCAUACGGAAUGUACAAAUAUAUCAAGGAAUUACAAGCUAGGUUAGAUUCUGCCCUGGUAGUGCCAGUACGCUUUCCCCCACAGCUUAACGCACCUACAUUCAACUUAGCCGCCAGGACCUAA